rnacentral:rRNA from 1 species
AUGAACGCUGGCGGCGUGCUUAACACAUGCAAGUCGAACGAAGCAUUUAAGACAGAUUACUUCGGUUUGAAGUCUUUAUGACUGAGUGGCGGACGGGUGAGUAACGCGUGGGUAACCUGCCUCAUACAGGGGGAUAGCAGCUGGAAACGGCUGGUAAUACCGCAUAAGCGCACGGUAUCGCAUGAUACAGUGUGAAAAACUCCGGUGGUAUGAGAUGGACCCGCGUCUGAUUAGCUGGUUGGUGAGGUAACGGCCCACCAAGGCGACGAUCAGUAGCCGACCUGAGAGGGUGACCGGCCACAUUGGGACUGAGACACGGCCCAGACUCCUACGGGAGGCAGCAGUGGGGAAUAUUGCACAAUGGAGGAAACUCUGAUGCAGCGACGCCGCGUGAGUGAAGAAGUAGUUCGCUAUGUAAAGCUCUAUCAGCAGGGAAGAUAGUGACGGUACCUGACUAAGAAGCACCGGCUAAAUACGUG